GAAUUUGGCAGCACAGAUACUAACAUUGGAACGAUACAAGGAGGAUUAGCAAGACCCCUGCGCAAAGGUGACACCCAAAUUCAUGAAGCGUUCCAUAUUUUU